CAACGGCGGUGAUUGCCUGUACUGAGGGCGUAGUGUAGCGGCACAAGCUCACAUUUGAAAUCUGGCACAAUUCGGUGUCCGAGUUGUAAUUUGAAGAAGGUAACUUUGGAGUUGGCUCUUGUCUAUGUUCCUUGGAACAGGACGUCACAGAGGGUGAGAAUCCCGUGCGAUGAGAUGCCCAAUUCUAUGUAAAGUGCUUUCGAAGAGUCGAGUUGUUUGGGAAUGCAGCUCUAAGUGGGUGGUAAAUUCCAUCUAAAGCUAAAUAUUGGCGAGAGACCGAUAGCGAACAAGUACAGUGAUGGAAAGAUGAAAAGAACUUUGAAAAGAGAGUGAAAAAGUACGUGAAAUUGUUGAAAGGGAAGGGCUUGAGAUCAGACUUGGUAUUUUGCGAUCCUUUCCUUCUUGGUUGGGUUCCUCGCAGCUUACUGGGCCAGCAUCGGUUUGGAUGGUAGGAUAAUGACUAAGGAAUGUGGCUCUACUUCGGUGGAGUGUUAUAGCCUUGGUUGAUACUGCCUGUCUAGACCGAGGACUGCGUCUUUUGACUAGGAUGUUGGCAUAAUGAUCUUAAGCCACCCGUCUAAAAACCGGGGGCAAAAAACCAAGGAUCAACCCCCCA
rnacentral:rRNA from 1 species